rnacentral:rRNA from 1 species
CGCGUGUGUGAAGAAGGCCUUCGGGUUGUAAAGCACUUUCAGUCGUGAGGAAGGUAGUGUAGUUAAUAGCUGCAUUAUUUGACGUUAGCGACAGAAGAAGCACCGGCUAACUCCGUGCCAGCAGCCGCGGUAAUACGGAGGGUGCGAGCGUUAAUCGGAAUUACUGGGCGUAAAGCGCAUGCAGGUGGUUUGUUAAGUCAGAUGUGAAAGCCCGGGGCUCAACCUCGGAAUUGCAUUUGAAACUGGCAGACUAGAGUACUGUAGAGGGGGGUAGAAUUUCAGGUGUAGCGGUGAAAUGCGUAGAGAUCUGAAGGAAUACCGGUGGCGAAGGCGGCCCCCUGGACAGAUACUGACACUCAGAUGCGAAAGCGUGGGGAGCAAACAGGAUUAGAUACCCUGGUAGUCCACGCCGUAAACGAUGUCUACUUGGAGGUUGUGGCCUUGAGCCGUGGCUUUCGGAGCUAACGCGUUAAGUAGACCGCCUGGGGAGUACGGUCGCAAGAUUAAAACUCAAAUGAAUUGACGGGGGCCCGCACAAGCGGUGGAGCAUGUGGUUUAAUUCGAUGCAACGCGAAGAACCUUACCUACUCUUGACAUCCAGAGAACUUUCCAGAGAUGAAUUGGUGCCUUCGGGAACUCUGAGACAGGUGCUGCAUGGCUGUCGUCAGCUCGUGUUGUGAAAUGUUGGGUUAAGUCCCGCAACGAGCGCAACCCUUAUCCUUGUUUUGCCAGCGAGUAAUGUCGGGAACUCCAGGGAGACUGCCGGUGAUAAACCGGAGGAAGGUGGUGGACUACGUCAGUCAUCAUGGCCCUUACGAGUAGGGCUACACACGUGCCUACAGUGGGCGCAUCACAGA